rnacentral:lncRNA from 1 species
GUCUCGUCUAUCAAUAUUAUAUCAUCAGCAAAGAGCAUACACCAAGGCACAUCCCCUUGGAUAUGACGGGUUAGAGCAUCUAUCACUAAGGCGAACAAUUAAAUUUAUAGUAAGAAGAAAAUCUGUCGACUUUAAAAAUCGUGAGGGUUCAAGUCCCUCUAUCCCCAAAAAGACUAUUUCACUGCCCAACUAUUUAUCCGACCCCCUUUUCUUAGCGGUUCCAAAUUCCUU